UCUGACGGUUUGUUGUUUGGUUGCCAUGACAAUCACCAGAGCUCAGUAACAACACGCAGCCGCCACUCAGCGCGUCUAACGAGCUGCUCGGCAGUCGUCUCGUGUUUCGUGUCCGGAGUGUAAAGACUGAGUGACACGACGCCGCUCUCAUCUUAAAUCUGCUGUCAACUCGACCUUUGACCCGGAUUACUGCUGAUAAGCAUCAGUCAUCCAGCUGUGCGGUCCAGACCGAGAAUGGAAACAGAUGAUUUUGGCGUACAGGUCGUUCUCCUUGAACAGCAGGUAUUCCUUCAGCCUGGUGGGCAGCUGGAGAGACAUCAGACCGCUGCAGCUCAGGUGUUUCCUGAUCACCACUCUGCUCAGGAUCUUGGUCAGUUUGCUGCAGAGAGAAACCUGCCCGACGUACUCGAGGAGGAUCGACACGACUCGGCCCACCAGGUUCAGGAGCCAGGAGACGCUGACGAAGUCACAGAACUGGACAAAAACAACAAUAAUUACUCAAACAAAUGAAUGGAUUAUCAAAGGUGUUGUUGACGACGUCGAGCUGUGAUCUGGAUGGUGACGGUGUUUCAUGUUUCCGUACCUCCUCGAUCCUUUCAGACGUUCCCGCUGACACGAGUCCUGAAUGCUCAUCUGAACGUCGUAGUCCAGGAGUUCGUCUUCGUCCAUCUCAUCGGCUGCAUCCAUCAUUCUGACAUCGUACAGAUGAACUGUUCCUUUAAGUAGUCGCUGAGAUAUUCUGCGGGCAGACGGACGACCAUCAGCAUCACAAAAGAUUUUUCUAGAUCUGCACGCAGUCGGAAUACCAGAGAGUACAAAAGAGGGAGUGGACAUAAUAACAGAAACACAACAAGUUGAAUCAACGCAUCUUUUGAGCAAAGUGUCGCCAAAAACAAAAGGUAAUCAUGUAUAUUCGAGGGUCUGCAAUGGCCUGAUCGUUUCCGUGGAAAUUUCCUGUAAAUUGUUACUAAUAAUAGAGAAAAACUGAGAUGAAUGUUAAUUUGAUACACUUCUAGUUAAUUAAUUCCAAGUCAGUCAGAGCACAGCAGUGAUGGAGCGAGGCAGAUAUAUGAGAAUGACAUGAUAAAGUUAAAAUAGGAAGUUUUACAUUGAGCUCCAAAUCACAUUUAACUUUUAUUUAAAUUACAGAUUCUUAAAAAAGAAAUAAAGUAACAACUAGUGGAGGCAAAACAUGACACUAUAAACUUUUGGUUGAAUAGCAACAAAACACAGAUUACAUGCGGAUACACAGCGAUGACAGACGACAGGUACAGACCUACAGGUGUUCAUGUUAUUUUGUCCACCACCUCUGCAAACAAAGAUUCCCUGCCAACGACUUCAGUCCCACUGACCUCCUGCCAGUAACACAGCUCCUCAUACAGACACAAACAUCAGCGGACCAACGCUCGGCGCCGUCUCUGCAGACGGACCUGGAGACUCUCACCUGUCAGGUAUGUGAGCAGCUCGCUCUGGUCGGUCACUCUGCACUAACUGCACACGCUGUGUUUUAUAUUUAGGUGUGACCUGCUUUGGGAUGCCUGCAGAAACAUAGUGAAGGGGCGUGUGGUCAACACCUGGCCUGCUGGUCUUAAAUUAAGCCGGGUUACAUAUUGUGUGAGCUAAGCCGGGUCUUUGUCGUGUUUGGCGGGAAUCCCACAUUCAAGAUCCCACAAGCCUCCGGGGGGCUUUACGGCCCGUGGACUCACUCACGCAGCCAGUUCACCAGCUAUUGUUUCACGGAAAGCAAAAUCAAUGGGGUCUAUUUAUUCCUCUGCUGCUUUGUCUGAGAAAUAUGAGAUGCUGGAAUGUCAUGAAACUGUUGGCUGAGUUAAAGCUGCAGGAGAAGCCGGCGGUCACACUUCCAUCACGCUGGAAACGCUUUUUUAAUGAGGGGACGGUGUUGUGAUUGUUUCCUGGUUUUGUUUGCUGCUGCUUGUGACUCUGGUUUGGUAACAUUAGAUAAUAACCAGCAUUAAUUAAUGGUCAUUAACAGUUAAUUAAACUUCAUUCUUCUCCCUGUUAACAAACAUUCAAAGGCUUUAAAAAAACGAAGCAUUUUUGUAUUUCAAACGUUCAAAAAGAUUCAUAAAGAUCAGUUGCAACUUUAUAAUCACCAUGAAGGUCGAUGUGUUACUUCUGUUCAUGAUACGCACAUUUUUUCAUGCACUGGUCAAUUUUGAGAUUUUCUGGUUUGCUUCCAUAACAAGUUUUCUUCUUUCAGACUCAGAAAACAUCCAAAAAUACAUAUUCCCUGUUUGUUUUAGUUCAGAUUUCUGUUAUGAAAUAAAAAGGCUCAUAUUUAAUUAGAUAAAUAGCCUCAUUUGCAUAUUGAUGAUGUCAUUAAUCACCUGGGGAAGUCUUGUUGUCUUGGUUUUUUUUCACAUUUUUCACCUUUUUUGUCAAAAAAUGUUUGGAAUUUAAAAAAUAAAAAAAAUCCAUGGCCUGA